GGAUUGUGGCUCAGAGGAAGAGCGCUUGCCUUGCAUGCGUGAGGCACUGGAUUCGAUCCUCAGCACCA
rnacentral:tRNA from 1 species